rnacentral:rRNA from 1 species
UGGGGAAUAUUGGGCAAUGGGCGAAAGCCUGACCCAGCAACGCCGCGUGAUUGAAGAAGGUCUUCGGAUUGUAAAGAUCUGUCCUAUGGGACGAAUAAAGUGACGGUACCAUAGGAGGAGGCCCCGGCUAACUACGUGCCAGCAGCCGCGGUAAUACGUAGGGGGCGAGCGUUGUCCGGAAUUACUGGGCGUAAAGGGUGCGUAGGCGGCGCUUUAAGUCAGAUGUGAAAUACCCGGGCUUAACCUGGGGGGUGCAUCUGAUACUGGAGUGCUUGAGUGCAGGAGAGGAAAGUGGAAUUCCUAGUGUAGCGGUGAAAUGCGUAGAUAUUAGGAGGAACACCAGUGGCGAAGGCGACUUUCUGGACUGUAACUGACGCUGAGGCACGAAAGCGUGGGGAGCAAACAGGAUUNGAUGCCCUGGUAGUCACGCCGUAAACGAUGGAUACUAGGUNUAGGGGGGCCGAUAGCCUUCUGUGCCGCAGCAAAGCGCAAUAAGUAUCCCGCCUGGGGAGUACGAUCGCAAGGUU